rnacentral:rRNA from 1 species
UACGUAGGUGGCAAGCGUUGUCCGGAUUUACUGGGCGUAAAGAGCGCGCAGGCGGUCGUUCAAGUCGCGUGUGAAAGCCCCCGGCUCAACUGGGGAGGGUCACGCGAUACUGGUCGACUCGAAGGCAGGAGAGGGUAGUGGAAUUCCCGGUGUAGUGGUGAAAUGCGUAGAUAUCGGGAGGAACACCAGUGGCGAAGGCGACUACCUGGCCUGUUUCUUGACGCUGAGGCGCGAAAGCUAGGGGAGCAAACAGG